rnacentral:rRNA from 1 species
UUAUGACGCCAUAACACACUAUGAGUCACAUCUGAGAAGCUAAGUAGGGUUGGGCUGGGUCAGGAGUUGGAUGGGAGACUGUUGGGAACAACAGGUGCCACAGU